rnacentral:rRNA from 1 species
GGGACGAACGCUGGCGGCGUGCUUAACACAUGCAAGUCGAGCGGUAAGGCCUUUCGGGGUACACGAGCGGCGAACGGGUGAGUAACACGUGGGUGAUCUGCCCUGCACUUCGGGAUAAGCCUGGGAAACUGGGUCUAAUACCGGAUAUGACCUCCUAUCGCAUGGUGGGUGGUGGAAAGAGUUUAUCGGUGCAGGGAUUGGGCCCGCGGCCUAUCAGCUUGUUGGUGGGUAAUGGCCUACCGAAGGCGACGACGGGUAGCCGACCUGAGAGGGUGACCGGCCACGACUGGGACUGAGACACGGCCCAGGACUCCUACGGGAGCAGCAGUGGGGAAUAGUGCACGAAUGGGCGAAAGGCCUAGAUGACACGCGACGCGCGUGAGGAUGACGGCCUUACGGGUUGUAAACCGUCGUUUCAGGUCAAGGUACGAGCGGACAAGUGACGGUACCUGCAAGAAGAGCAACGGCUAACG